rnacentral:rRNA from 1 species
CACGUAGGGCGCGAGCGUUGUCCGGAAUUAUUGGGCGUAAAGAGCUCGUAGGCGGCCUGUUGCGUCCGCUGUGAAAGCCCGGGGCUUAACCCCGGGUCGGCAGUGGAUACGGGCAGGCUAGAGGUAGGUAGGGGAGACUGGAAUUCCUGGUGUAGCGGUGAAAUGCGCAGAUAUCAGGAGGAACACCGGUGGCGAAGGCGGGUCUCUGGGCCAAAACUGACGCUGAGGAGCGAAAGCGUGGGGAGCGAACAGG